AGCGUGCGCAGGCGGUUUUGUAAGACUGUCGUGAAAUCCCCGGGCCUCAACCUCGGGAAUGGCGAUGGUGACUGCAAGGCUAGAGUUUGGCAGAGGGGGGUAGAAUUCCACGUGUAGCAGUGAAAUGCGUAGAUAUGUGGAGGAACACCGAUGGCGAAGGCAGCCCCCUGGGUCAAAACUGACGCUCAUGCACGAAAGCGUGGGGAGCAAACAGGAUUAGAUACCCUAGU
rnacentral:rRNA from 1 species